rnacentral:rRNA from 1 species
GAUGAACGCUAGCGGCAGGCUUAACACAUGCAAGUCGAGGGGCAGCACGUCUUCGGAUGGUGGCGACCGGCGCACGGGUGCGUAACGCGUAUACAACCUACCUUAUAGAGGGGAAUAGCCCAGAGAAAUUUGGAUUAAUGCCCCAUAGUAUUAUUGAAUAGCAUUAUUUAAUGAUUAAACAUUUAUGGCUAUAAGAUGGGUAUGCGUUCUAUUAGCUAGAUGGUAAGGUAACGGCUUACCAUGGCGACGAUAGAUAGGGGUCCUGAGAGGGAGAUCCCCCACACUGGUACUGAGACACGGACCAGACUCCUACGGGAGGCAGCAGUGAGGAAUAUUGGACAAUGGGCGAGAGCCUGAUCCAGCCAUGCCGCGUGCAGGAAGACGGCCCUAUGGGUUGUAAACUGCUUUUAUACGGGAAGAAACACUCCUUCGUGAAGGAGCUUGACGGUACCGUAAGAAUAAGGAUCGGCUAACUCCGUGCCAGCAGCCGCGGUAA